CGGGCCUUGUACACACCGCCCGUCACAUCAUGGGAGUUGGUUUUACCCGAAGUCACUGACCCGACCGGAAGGAGGGAGGUGCCUAAGGUAAGGCCGAUGACUGGGAUG
rnacentral:rRNA from 1 species